rnacentral:rRNA from 1 species
AAGCAUAUCAAUAAGCGGAGGAAAAGAAACCAACAGGGAUUGCCUCAGUAACGGCGAGUGAAGCGGCAAUAGCUCAAAUUUGAAAUCUGGCUCUUUCAGGGUCCGAGUUGUAAUUUGUAGAGGAUGCUUCGGGUGUGGCUCCGGUCUAAGUUCCUUGGAACAGGACGUCAUAGAGGGUGAGAAUCCCGUAUGUGACUGGAAGCCUUCGUCCAUGUGAAGCUCCUUCGACGAGUCGAGUUGUUUGGGAAUGCAGCUCAAAAUGGGUGGUAAAUUUCAUCUAAAGCUAAAUACUGGCCAGAGACCGAUAGCGCACAAGUAGAGUGAUCGAAAGAUGAAAAGCACUUUGGAAAGAGAGUUAAAAAGUACGUGAAAUUGUUGAAAGGGAAGCGCUUGCAACCAGACUUGCUCGCGGUUGCUCAGCCGGUGUUCUCACCGGUGCACUCUUCCGCGAUCAGGCCAGCAUCGGUUUGGGCGGCUGGAUAAAGGCUCUGGGAAUGUGGCUCCUCUCGGGGAGUGUUAUAGCCCAGGGUGCAAUGCAGCCCGCCCGGAUCGAGGACCGCGCUUCGGCUAGGAUGCUGGCGUAAUGGUUGUAAGCGACCCGUCUUGAAACACGGACCAAGGAGUCUAACAUCUAUGCGAGUGUUUGGGUGUCAAACCCAUGCGCGUAAUGAAAGUGAACGGAGGUGAGAACCCUUAAGGGUGCAUCAUCGACCGAUCCUGAUGUCUUCGGAUGGAUUUGAGUAAGAGCAUAGCUGUUGGGACCCGAAAGAUGGUGAACUAUGCCUGAAUAGGGUGAAGCCAGAGGAAACUCUGGUGGAGGCUCGCAGCGGUUCUGACGUGYAAAUCGAUCGUCAAAYUUGSGGUAUAGGGGCGAAAGACUAAUCGAACCAUCUAGUAGCUGGUUCUGCG